AUUGAACGCUGGCGGCAGGCUUAACACAUGCAAGUCGAACGAGUGGCGGACGGGUGAGUAAUGCUUGGGAAUCUGGCUUAUGGAGGGGGAUAACGACGGGAAACUGUCGCUAAUACCGCGUACCAUAGGAUGAGCCCAAGUGGGAUUAGGUAGUUGGUGGGGUAAUGGCCUACCAAGGCGACGAUCCCUAGCUGGUCUGAGAGGAUGACCAGCCACACCGGGACUGGGGACCGGCCCGGACCUCUACGGGAGGCAGCAGGUGGGAAUAUUGCGCAAUGGGGGCAACCCCGACGGAGCCAUGCCGCGGGAAUGAAGAAGGCCUUCGGGUUGUAAAGCUCGUUAAGCGGGACGACGGUACCGGAAGAGAAAGCCACGGCUAACUACGUGCCAGCAGCCGCGGUAAUAC
rnacentral:rRNA from 1 species